GCCGAGCUCAGUAGCACGAGCUUGUAACCCAUGUGGGGGCAUGAAGGUGGUUGGACAUUGGAUCGGUUCCACUUGGUUGGGUCUGGUAGUGUUAAAUGUUGACUUGCCCGUUCCAAGUUGGGAGUUGGGCUAUGUGAAUCAGGCUAAGGCUUGGAUCAUGUAGUUCCUAAAGAGGAGGGUACAGCGUCAGGCUGGUUUCACAGAGCAGCGAUGACCUCCCGCUCUUGACAGUGGAAGGAUAACGAGUUGAUGCACCCUAGACCCAAUACGCCUGGUGAGCUGACUCAGUUGAACAACCACCUUU
rnacentral:SRP_RNA from 1 species